rnacentral:lncRNA from 1 species
AUAAAUGGAAUAUAACCUUUAAAAAUUGUGAAUUACUGUAUUGUUUACCUGAAACUUAUAUAAUCUUGUUCAUUAACUAUACUUCAAUAAAAAAUAAAAAUUAAAAAAUAUAUAUUAAAGUUGGAUAAUUUGGUAUACCUAAAAUUAAUAUAAUGUUAUAUGUCAAUUAUAUCUCAAUUAAAAAGGUAAAUUUUUUAAAAAAAUUCAAAUGAAUCAGAUAACUCAGUUUUACUUUUAAUAAAAGUAAUUGAAUAAGAACUUCAUCCAAUUUUUAAAAAGGAAAGAUAAAAAAUUCUUGAUUUUUAUCAAAAAGGAAAAUUACAUACAGCAAUUCGAGGAAUAGUAAUGUUACCAUUUUUUUCAUUGUUAGUGAGUUGUUGAGUCAAUCUGAUAGCAUCAGGAGUACUGUAAUAAAAUGAAAAUUUUGUAUAUGAACAUAGUAUAAAAUAUGAAUGUUCAUUUCUUUAGUCAGAAGGUGGAAAUUGCUUUGUAGAAUGAAGUUUAAAAGGAAUAUGAAAUUCAUAGGUGCUGUACCGUAAGUCACCAUUAUAACACAUUUACCACUUUGCAUGUUAAGCCAGCAACUUAGACUUACAUCAGUGGAUACAUGCAUUACAGACGAUCCCUCUGUAAAAAAAGGAAUAAAAUUCCUCCAGCAACUUUAAAUCAGGUGUAAAGAGGGCGGUACUUUUGUAAAUACAGAGCCACUGUGUGAAAGCCCUGCUUUGAAGCCUGAGACUAAAUUCGAAAGUGUGGCAUAUUGUUUUCUUUUCUUUAAGGAACUCCAUUUGGCUUGUGUAGAGUGUUCUUCCCAACCCUUCCCUGCCCUCUUUGUGAAUUUUUCUUUAUGAGUAGGAGAGAAGUAAAAAUUAUAUUACCCAUUUGAAAUUAUUGCUUUAUUAUAUUACUGUUAAAAUUUAUUAAGCUGAUAAAUUAAAAAUGUCUUAUUUCAUCAUGUGCAUAUCUAUAUGUGUAUAUCCAUCAUAAUUAUCAUACUCCAAGUAUUUAUACUACUUCUACCCCAUUGCAAGCCACCAUUCUCUCUCACCUAGACUCUGUAGAAGUCUCUUAGCUGAUUUCUUUUUAUACCAGCCUCCCUCACCAACAAAUUUGUUCUCUAUGGAGCACCAAGUGAUUCUUUAGUAGUGAAUGUCAGAGCAGGCUACUCAAAAAUUCCACUUCUUGUUCAUUAAUUUCUUUUUGUUUUUAAUUUGAGUAUAGUUGAUUUAAAAUGUUGUGUUUUAGGUGUACCGCAAAGUGAUUCCAUUACACCUUAUGUAUGGAAUAGCAAGGAUGAUGCAUAAGAGUCUACAUGGGAAGCUGGGUGGGAUGCUAUUUAGAGGUAAGGCACAGGUUUGGAGGUAGAGGGUUAUAGCUGUUUGAGUCCAGCCAGUGCUUGGAGUGUUAAAUUAGUUUCCUAGUGCUGCAGUAACAAAGGAUCAAAAUCUGGGUGGUUUAAAACAGUAGAGACUUAUUAUCUCAGUUCUAGAGGCUAAAAGUCCAAAAUCAAGGUGUUGCUAGGGCCAUGUUCUCUCUGACUGUUCUAGGGGAAAAUUCUUGCUUGCCACUUAAGCUUCUGAUGUUUUCCAGUAGUCCUUGAAGUUCUUUAGCUUGGGGAUGGCCAUCGUUCCUUGGGUGUCUUUCCCUCUGUGAGAGUCUCUCCAUGUCCAGAUUUCCCUUUUAAUAAAGAUACAGUCAGAUUUGUUCAGGGCCACCCUGAUGACCUCAUUUUAACUAUAUGAUUUCCCUAGAACUUGUUUCCAAAUAAGGUCAUAUUCUGUGCUACUAGGGUUUAGGACUUCAACAUAUCUUUUGUGAUGAAUUUUACUAAAAAUUUAGGCUAUUUGAUACAUUGAAGUAAUAAAGGGUGGGAGAUCAGGAAGGUGAAAACAAAGGUAAAUACUGAGUUUUCAUGCUUUACUGAGAGAAUGCUGGUGCCGCUGGAAGGAAUGGGGGGAAGGAAAGUACAGAUUCCAGACAAGAAGAGAGGAGAGAGGGAAGUGAAUUUUGUUGUGAGCUGGCUGAAUUGGACUUUAGGUGAUUGUCACAUAGCUUCAUGAUCUAGUCAGAGUUGAGGGAAGAGCUCUGCAUCUUUUUUUAUCUUUUUUGUUUUGGCUGGGGGGAGUUUUUUAGGGCUGCAACUGUGGCAUAAGGAAGUUCCCAGGCGAGUGGUUGAAUCGGAGCUAUGGCUGCCAGCUACACCACAGCCACAGCAAUACGGAGUCUGAGCCAAGUUUGUGACCUACACCACAGCUCAUGGUAACGCAUGAUCCAUAACCCACUGAGGAGGCCAGGGAUCAAACCUGCAUCCUCAUGGAUACUAGUUGGAUUCGUGACCACUGAGCCGCAACGGGUAUUCUGAGAUCUGCAUCUUGAUCACAGCUUUGCUAUGGAAAUGUCUGGGUUCUCAGAGGAGGGAGGCCAGAGAGUCUGAGAUCUGGGUCUCAAAAGGAAGCUAAAAGAGAAGGUCACUUGUUGAAGUGGAUGCCUUCAUCCAUU